rnacentral:rRNA from 1 species
AGAGUUUGAUCAUGGCUCAGGACGAACGCUGGCGGCGUGCUUAACACAUGCAAGUCGAACGGUGAACCGCUUUCGGGUGGGGAUCAGUGGCGAACGGGUGAGUAACACGUGAGUAACCUGCCCUUCACUCUGGGAUAACUCCGGGAAACCGGGGCUAAUACUGGAUACGACCUACUCGGGCAUCCGAUGUGGGUGGAAAGAUUUAUUGGUGAGGGAUGGACUCGCGGCCUAUCAGCUUGUUGGUGAGGUAAUGGCUCACCAAGGCGACGACGGGUAGCCGGCCUGAGAGGGCGAUCGGCCACACUGGGACUGAGACACGGCCCAGACUCCUACGGGAGGCAGCAGUGGGGAAUAUUGCACAAUGGGCGAAAGCCUGAUGCAGCGACGCCGCGUGAGGGAUGAAGGCCUUCGGGUUGUAAACCUCUUUCAGCAGGGAAGAAGCGAAAGUGACGGUACCUGCAGAAGAAGCACCGGCUAACUACGUGCCAGCAGCCGCGGUAAUACGUAGGGUGCAAGCGUUGUCCGGAAUUAUUGGGCGUAAAGAGCUUGUAGGCGGUUUGUCGCGUCUGCUGUGAAAUUUCGGGGCUCAACCCCGAACUUGCAGUGGGUACGGGCAGACUAGAGUGUGGUAGGGGAGACUGGAAUUCCUGGUGUAGCGGUGAAAUGCGCAGAUAUCAGGAGGAACACCGAUGGCGAAGGCAGGUCUCUGGGCCAUAACUGACGCUGAGAAGCGAAAGCAUGGGGAGCGAACAGGAUUAGAUACCCUAGUAGUCC